CUUCUCCUCUUGCGAGGGCGGGUUCCACCUCGUGACCUCUGCAGGCUGAGGGGUAACAGCUGGUUUAUCGCUACCGCUGUGUCGCAUCCCCGCGGCCCUCGGGCGCUCGCUGCUUGUCGCCGCGUCAGUCGAAAGUCUCGUAGACAGUUGUGAGCCAGGGUUAGAAGCAGCAGGCUGGUCCCUAGACAGUCGAGUAUCCGUUUCUUUAACCCCCGCAGAAGCGGGCUGUGCCCACAACGCCCCGGUACCAUCACAGGGUUUGUCCGGUGCUCCCAGACUCUUGGUUGUUUUAAGUUGUUCCUGUUACAGACCAGCUCGGCUCCCCCCGACGCUUGAUGAGCUGUUUGGAAACCGCAUUUCAAAACCAGGUGAAAGGGGGGAGCUGCGGUUUGGAGCCGUGCGUGUGUUCAGCGGGAUGCGGCUAGCUGGAGACGGUGGGUGGGUGUUAGAGGGGAGGAAGCGGCUGGAACUUAGCAGUUUGGCUUUUAAAAGGGGGGACCCUUGAAUUUGGCGGCUCCCUAGCCCCUCCCAUGUGCCCCGGGCCCUUCAGUUUCUGAGGUUUGCUGAAAUGAGACUUUUGCUGGUUGGUUUCUCUGAUUUCAGCUGGCUGCGAUCAGGGCCGCAAGUGAACAGAGCGCAAGGGAGGUUUUCCUAGCACCACGCCCAGUCCAGCCCAGCUUAUCCAGAACCAGGAGGAAUUGUUCCAAACCCUGUUGCUUUGCGGAUGCGGAUGCGCCUGCUGCUUUCCGAGGGCCAAGGGGGAUACGUUCACUGGCGUCAGUGGUGUCACUCCUGAUUCACACUAGGGCAAGGGGGAUCCGGAUCAGACUCCUGUUGUCCCCUUUCCCCUGCCCCCCAUUUAUUUUUGUAAAGGUUUCCCACCAAAGCCGUCGUUCGUGACGUGACAUCAAGAAUGUGGCUGAAUGUGAUGCUGCCGUGGAUGUUCUCAUUUGGCAUCUCCAGGUCCGGAGCCAACAGCCCCGGCAGUAGGAUCCCUACGCCGCAGCCCAGCUGUGGCAUGCUCAGCCUGCAUCCCCCCGUGGCCAGCCUCGGCGCCCCUUUGAUGGCCUCCUGCAGCCUGGAUCCCAGCUGCCAGCAGA